rnacentral:rRNA from 1 species
CAGCCGCCGCGGUAAUACCGGCGGCCCGAGUGGCGGUCACUAUUAUUGGGCUUAAAGCGUCCGUAGCCGGGUUGGGAAGUCCUCCGGGAAAUCUGGCCGCUUAACGGUCAGAAUGCCGGAGGAUACUCCCAGCCUAGGGAGCGGGAGAGGCCGAGGGGAUUCCCGGCGGAGGGGUGAAAUCCUAUAAUCCCGGGAGGACCACCUGUGGCGAAGGCGCUCGGCUGGAACGCGUCCGACGGUGAGGGACGAAGGCCAGGGGAGCAAACCGGAUUAGAUACCCGGGUAGUCCUGGCUGUAAACGAUGCGGACUUUGUGUCGGACAAGCUAUGAGCUUGUCCGGUGCCGGAGGGAAACCGUUAAGUCCGCCGCCUGGGGAGUACGGCCGCAAGGCUGAAACUUAAAGGAAUUGGCGGG